rnacentral:rRNA from 1 species
GGGUCAGUAGGUUGGUCGUGCCACCGGUACGUACUGGUCUCACUGAUCCCUCCUUCCUGAAGAACCGUAAUGCCAUUAAUUUGGUGUUGCGGGGAAACAGGACUGUUACUUUGAAAAAAUUGGAGUGUUUAAAGCAAGCUAACGCUUGAAUACAUUAGCAUGGAAUAAUGAAAUAGGACGAUCGAUCCUAUUUUGUUGGUUUCUAGGAUUGACGUA